GACGAACGCUGGCGGCGUGCUUAACACAUGCAAGUCGAACGGAAAGGCCCUGCUUUUGUGGGGUGCUCGAGUGGCGAACGGGUGAGUAACACGUGAGUAACCUGCCCUUGACUUUGGGAUAACUUCAGGAAACUGGGGCUAAUACCGGAUAGGAGCUCCUGCUGCAUGGUGGGGGUUGGAAAGUUUCGGCGGUUGGGGAUGGACUCGCGGCUUAUCAGCUUGUUGGUGGGGUAGUGGCUUACCAAGGCUUUGACGGGUAGCCGGCCUGAGAGGGUGACCGGCCACAUUGGGACUGAGAAACGGCCAAGACUCCUACGGGAGGCAGCAGUGGGGAAUGUUGCACAAUGGGCGGAAGCCUGAUGCAGCAACGCCGCGUGCGGGAUGACGGCCUUCGGGUUGUAAACCGCUUUCGCCUGUGACGAAGCGUGAGUGACGGUAAUGGGUAAAGAAGCACCGGCUAACUACGUG
rnacentral:rRNA from 1 species